AGAGUUUGAUCAUGGCUCAGGAUGGACGCUAGCUACAGGCUUAACACAUGCAAGUCGAGGGGCAGCAUCAUCAAAGCUUGCUUUGAUGGAUGGCGACCGGCGCACGGGUGAGUAACACGUAUCCAACCUGCCGACAACACUGGGGAUAGCCUUUCGAAAAGAAAGAUUAAUACCGGAUGGCAUAAUUAUUCCGCAUUGGAUAAUUAUUAAAGAAUUUCGGUUGUCGAUGGGGAUGCGUUCCA
rnacentral:rRNA from 1 species